rnacentral:rRNA from 1 species
ACUCCUACGGGAGCAGCAGUGGGGAAUAUUGCACAAUGGGCGCAAGCCUGAUGCAGCCAUGCCGCGUGUAUGAAGAAGGCCUUCGGGUUGUAAAGUACUUUCAGCAGUGAGGAAGGCGGGUACGUUAAUAGCGUGCUUGUUUGACGUUAGCUGCAGAAGAAGCACCGGCUAACUCCGUGCCAGCAGCCGCGGUAAUACGGAGGGUGCGAGCGUUAAUCGGAAUUACUGGGCGUAAAGCGCAUGCAGGUGGUUUGUUAAGUCAGAUGUGAAAGCCCGGGGCUCAACCUCGGAAUUGCAUUUGAAACUGGCAGACUAGAGUACUGUAGAGGGGGGUAGAAUUUCAGGUGUAGCGGUGAAAUGCGUAGAGAUCUGAAGGAAUACCGGUGGCGAAGGCGGCCCCCUGGACAGAUACUGACACUCAGAUGCGAAAGCGUGGGGAGCAAACAGGAUUAGAUACCCUGGUAGGAUAG